ACAAUGGUGCAUGAAAAAAUAAAAGGCUGUACGAAGGAAAAGAGGAUUUAAACCCAUAGAAGCCCAAAACACGACAGGUAGGGUGCAAGAAUGGAAAACAGGGAUGCGGAGAAGUAAUCAAAACAAAAAGCUAUAAAAGAAUCAGUGGAUGAGUGGAUUCUUUAGGGCCUCCAGACCCAGGCCCAACACCUUUUUUUUUCUCUCAACUCAAAUCCUUUACGAGUUCGGCCAGCUCCACCCCAUUCCACCAUUCGCAUUCACCGCCUCAGGGACCUAGAGUCUCUCCUUCUCCCCGCCGGCAAACCUAAAGGCAACCACUACCGCAGCGGUGCACUCACGCCUUUUCCAACCAAACGGCUGCCUCGAAUCGAGGCCCAGAGUGUUGCACCAACUGUUGCUCACCACCGGGAUCAUCGUCGCCUGCAGCGCCGAGCCUCUUCCUCUUUUCUCUUCUCCGAUCGCAAGCUACUUCGAGAAAGGAAGGUCUCGUGGACCACAAGCCAUUCGCUCCGAGCAGCUUCUCUCUCCUCUCCUUCCAUUGGUCAUUGAUUGAGGUUGAAAAACUAGAAGAGAAAGGAGUAUCUCCAAAGAAGCUAAGGCAAUAACCAUGAUCAUAACCGAAUGUUGAAUGACACUCUCUUGGGAUAUGAGAGGUAAUCGGACUUAUUGAGACUUCCUCGUGUUUGCGCGGACAAUGCAUUCCAAGGCAAAAAAAAUUAUGAUAGACACCUUAGCCAUAGUAAAAACUAACCGUUUUCCUUUUUAUUUGGAUUUCAAAAAAUUGUUUGUUUUCAAUUUAUUAGCUUUUCGAUUUUUUGCAUAUAAAUUGAAAAACUAGAAGAGAAAGAAGUAUCCUCCAAAGAAGCUAAUGCAAUAACCAUGGUCAUGACCGAAUGUUUGAAUGACACUGUCGAAAUUAUGUCUCAGUCUGUAAGAUCUUUAGUGCCGACUAUAAUCUUUGUUGGGUGGAUUUAAAAUUUCAUCUUGUCCAGUUUUAUAAAUUUUAUAAUGUUGGAUACUAAUAUUGUUUUGGUCAUUUUUUAAGACUGAAAAAAUACUAGAAGACCAUCUGUCCAAGUUUAGAGCAGAGAUGUAGAACUCACUAGUAUUUCUUAUUUCUUAAAUAUGUGAUUUUAUGGCAGUAAAAUAGGAUGUCACCACACAAAAUCCUAAGAUAUCCACAUACACCAAAUCAUAACACAGAACAUUUGCCUAUUUAAGAAAUAAGAAAUAUCAGUGAGUUCUGCAUCUCUGUUCUAAACUUGGACAGAUAGUCUUCUAGUAUUUUCUCAGUCUUAAAAAAAAUGACCAAAACAAUAAUAGGAUCCAACAUUAUAAAAUUUAUAAUAAAAUUUAUAAAACUGGACAAGAUGAAAUUUUAAAUCCACCCAACAAAGAUUAUAGUCGGCACUAAAGAUCUUACAGACAUUCGGUUAUGACCAUGGUUAUUGCCUUAGCUUCUUUGGAGGAUACUCGUUUCUCUUUUAGUUUUUCAACCUAUACGUAAAAAAUUGCAAAGCUAAUAAAUUGAAAGCAAACAAUUUUUUGAAAUCCAAAUAAGGAGGAAAACUGUUAGUUUUUAUCAUGGCUAGGUUGUCUAUCAUAAUUUUUUUUUGCCUUGAAAUGCAUUGUCCGCGCAACCGGAUGGAAUUUUGCUCUUGGACACGAGGAAGUCUCAAUAAGUCCGAUUAACUCCCAUAUCCCUUUGCCAAGGCGGGUGGCCAUUUCUGAUUCCAGGACCAAGCAAAAAAAGCCGCACAACAAGACUGUGGCUGAGCCUUCGUAGUGUCAAGAGCUUUCCUUUGCACCGAUCAAGUUGUUGUUUUGAGCUGACUGUCUUGGUAUCACUUGUGGUUUAGCAAAACUAUGGAGAAGUUUUAAUCUGUCAAGUUGUUUUGAGGUCCGUUCUCUUGAGAGGUCGAAGGUCGCGUUUCGUGCCGCUGCACUUUGUUCCAUUUGCGUGGUGUUGUCUCCGUCCAGUUUCGUCUCCUGUUAUCGUGCAGAAUGGCAAGUUCUGGUGACGAUUGUCCGACGACGAAGGUAAGUGGUUUUCCAUUCCAUGUGGUAGCUUGGUUAUUGGGGUUGGUCAUCUCGUAGCAUGCUUAUUUGGUUUGGGUUAAGGUUUGGAGUUGGUAUCCUUGUGUUGUGGUUCUUGGGUUAUUAGGUUUGGUUCUUUUGAUGAUUUUAUUUUGUUUUAUGCAGUUGAGUGUUCGUCACUCUUUUUCGACAAAGUAUAUAUGUACUUUGAACGAACGAUUGACAGACGAGCAUCGGUCAUUGAUUGCGAGGACUCCAUUUGCGUGGUUUUUAGAUGUCAAUGUGAAUGUUAAAGUAGGUAGAAAUAUAUUGAGUGAGUUAUUGGGUAAGUGGGACGACUGUAGUAGUGGUUUUUUAGUUGGGAAUAAAGUUUUAUUUAGGGUUGGGAUUGAGUACAGAUGGUGCAAAUAUUAACUUAAAGGAAGAACUGGGCAAUACUGAAUGUGUGAAGUACAUAGGCAAAGGAACAAAGGAAUUGAAUUCGAUAUACAAAAUUCUAAUGCGAAAACCGAAGAAAAAGAUACCUUGUUCUCAUUUUUGUAGCCUUUACCUCCUUGUAGGGAUAAGUGAGAUUUUAUUUCCAAAACGUAGCGGGAAAGUGUUUCCCGUAAUGUUUAAUCUUGUUGACAACUUAGGUGGUUUGGGUAGUUAUUGUUGGGGUAGUGUAGUUUAUCGUUUUCUGUUACAUAGUUUGUGCAAAGCUUCAGAAGGCUUGAAGAAAGGCAAAGGUAUUUCAAACGUUUACGUUGAUGGUUGUGUUUACAUGCUGCAGGUAUGAUUUUUUGAGCUCUUUGUUCCACCAAAAGGUCCUAUUGAGAAAUUUCAACGAAUAUUGCAUUGGAUGAAUAUAAGUGUUGGAGACAAGUUUGUAAAACGGUGUAUGGAGACAAGUUUGGUUGUUGACGAUGUUUAUGGUGGUCCUUCCACGAAGGAUAAGGAGGAAUACAGACCAACACCUAAAAGAAAGGAUGCUAAACCAAGAGGAAAGAAGAAACAAAAAAGAAUUCGAAGAGAAACUUUUAUGCGUGCGUUAGAGGAACAAGAAUUUCUAAUUGAAGAACUUAAAAGAAGGGUUGCAACUUUGGAGGCACAAUUGGCUGAAGAGAAGGCAAGAAGGCAAAAUAAAGAUGAUAUUGGACAAAGUGUGCCUCGUACAGAACCAUCCGUGAACACUGGUUUUGUUUCCCCUACUGACAUUGUCGGAAAUGAACAACCUUUGAAGACGUAUGUUAGGGUUGGAUCACGAAGGCGUUACAAGGGAAGAGCACUUAGGAUUCCAUACAUCGGAACCGUAGUGCUUAGAAUAAAAAAUGAGUGAUAUGUGUAUUUAGUUGAUGGAAAAUGUUAUUUGGAAAGUAAUGAUAAUUGUAAGCAUUGUAAAUAGAUUAAGAAAACAAUGUUUAAUGUAUCCGAUUUAGUUCAAUGAAAUAAAAUUUGAGUUUUGGUUUGAUUUGGUAUCAUAUUUUAUUUAUUCAAUACCAUUGUUAUUAUGAGUAGUGGGUUUGUGGAUUUCAGAAAAUGGUAAUUUUUUUUAUCUCGAAAGUUGCAGGCUUGUUUGUAAGAUGUUGGUGUUUGAGUGGUCAUUUUGGGUAAGAUGGGUGAACAGGGGUCAGCACUGGGGAAAAAUCUGACUUUUAGUCAGUUCUGCACCUGUCUGAGGCUGGUCCAGGUUUUUCAGUGGUGGGAGAGGGUGGUUGGUGAUGUGAUGUGAGUCCAGGGAAUGUGGGGUGACCCCUCAUGAGUUGGAGGAGCAACCUCUGCAAGGGAUGAGUGAGGGUGCUCAAAAAAGGGUGUGGUAAUCGUUUACAGCAUCCCUGUAACCGAUUACCCGAGACAAAUAUGGAUUUUGUACAGAAAGUCCAACACAGGUACUCAGACAGUUGAACAAGGGUCACCAUUGGGCAAAAAACGGACUUUUUGGCAGUUUUGCACCUGUCUAAGGCUGGUCCAGGUGUUCCAGUGGUGGGAGAGGGUGAUUGGUGUUGUGAUGUGAGUCCAGGGAGUGUGGGGUGACCCCUCAUGAGUUGGAGGAGAAAGGUCUGCAACGGAUGAGUGAGGGUGUUGAAAAAAGGGUCUAGUAAUCGUUUACAGCAUCCCUGUAAACGAUUACCCGAGAAAAAUCUGGCUUUUGUACAGAAAGUCCAACACAGGUACUCAUUCAGGUGAACUCGGGUCACCAGUGGACAAAAAACUGACUUUUAGGAAGUUCUGCACCUGUUUGAGGCUAGUCCAAGUGUUCCAGUGGUGGGAGAGGGUGGUUGGUGUUGUGAUGUGAGUCCAUGGAGUGUGGGGUGACCCCUCAUGAGUUGGAGGAGCAACCUCUGCAAGGGAUGAGUAAGGGUGCUCAAAAAAGGGUGUGGUAAUCGUUUACAGCAUCCCUGUAAACGAUUACCCAAGACAAAUCUGGAUUUUGUACAGAAAGUCCAACACAGGUACUCAGUCAGUUGAACAGGGGUCACAUUGGGGAAAAAAUCUAACUUUUUGGCAGUUUUGCACCUGUUUGAGGCUGGUCCAGGUGUUCCAGUGGUAAGAGAGGGUGGUUGGUGUUGUGAUGUGAGUCCAGGGAGUGUGGGGUGACCCCUCAUGAGUUGGAGGAGAAACCUCUGCAAGGGAUGAGUGAGGGUGCUCAAAAAAGGGUCUGGUAAUCGUUUACAGCAUCCCUGUAAACGAUUACCCGAGACAAAUCUGGAUUUUGUACAGAAAGUCCAACACCGGUACUCAGUCAGUUGAACAGGGUUCACCAUUGUUAAAAAAGGUAAGCUUUAGGCACUUCUGCACCUGUCUGAGGCUGGUCCAGGUGUUUGAGUGCUGGGAUAGGGUGGUGGGUGAUGUCAUGUGUGGCCAAGGAGUGUGGGGUGACCCCUUAUGAGUUGGAGGAGCAAGGUCUGCAAGGGAUGAGUGAGGGUGCUCAAAAAAGGGUGUGGUAAUCGUUUACAGCAUCCCUGUAAACGAUUACCCGAGACAAAUCUGGAUUUUGUACAGAAAGUCCAACACCGGUACUCAGUCAGUUGAACAGGGUUCACCAUUGUUAAAAAAGGUCAGCUUUAGGCACUUUUGCACCUGUCUGAGGCUGGUCCAGGUGUUUGAGUGCUGGGAUAGGGUGGUGGGUGAUGUCAUGUGUGGCCAAGGAGUGUGGGGUGACCCCUUAUGAGUUAGAGAAGCAAGGUCUGCAAGGGAUGAGUGAGGGUGCUCAAAAAAGGGUGUGGUAAUCGUUUACAGCAUCCUUGUAAACGAUUACCCGAGACAAAUCUGGAUUUUGUACAGAAAGUCCAACACAGGUACUCAAUCAGUUGAACAGGGGUCACCAUUGUAAAAAAAGGUCAAUUUUAGGCACUUGUGCACUUGUCCGAGGCUGGUCCAGGUGUUUGAGUGCUGGGAUAGGGUGGUGUGUGAUGUCAUGUGUGGCUAAGGAGUGUGGGGUGACCCCUUAUGAGUUGGAGGAGCAAGGUCUACAAGGGAUGAGUGAGGGUGCUCAAAAAAGGGUGUGGUAAUCGUUUACAAUAUCCCUGUAAACGAUUACCCGAGACAAAUGUGGCUUUUGUACAGAAAGUCCAACACAGGUACGCAGUCAGGUGAAAUGGGUCACCAGUGGGAAAAAAACUGACUUUUAGGCUGUUCAGCACUUGUCUGAGGCUGGUCCAAGUGUUCCAGUGGUGGGAGAGCGUGGUUGUUGUUGUGAUGUGAGUCUAGGGAGUGUGGGGUGACCCCUCAUGAGUUGCAGGAGCAACCUCUGCAAGGGAUGAGUGAGGGUGCUCAAAGAAGGGUCUGGUAAUAGUUUACAGCAUCCCUGUAAACGAUUACCCGAGACAAAUCUGGAUUUUGUACAGAAAGUCCAACAUAGGUACUCAGUCAGUUGAACUGGGGUCACCAUUGGGCAUAAAACUUACUUUUUGGCAGUUCUGCACCUGUCUGAGGCUGAUCCAGGUGUUCCAGUGGUGGGAGAGGGUGGUUGGUGUUGUGAUGUGAGUCCAGGGAGUGUAGGGUGACUCGUCAUGAGUUGGAGGAGCAACCUCUGCAAGGGAUGGGUGAGGGUGCUAAAAGAAGGGUGUGGUAAUCGUUUACAACAUCCCUGUAAACGAUUACCCGAGACAAAUCUGGAUUUUGUACAGAAAGUCCAACACAGGUACUCAGUUAGUUGAACAGGGGUCACCAUUGUAAAAAAUGGUCAGUUUUACGCACUUCUGCACUUGUCCGAGGCUGGUCCAGGUGUUAGAGUGUUGGGAUAGGGUGGUGGGUGAUGUCAUGUGUGGCCAAGGAGUGUGGGGUGACCCCUUAUGAGUUGGAGGAGCAAGGUCUGCAAGGGAUGAGUGAGGGUGCUCAAAAAAGGGUGUGGUAAUCGUUUACAGCAUCCCUGUAAACGAUUACCCGAGACAAAUGUUGCUUUUGUACAGAAAGUCCAACACAGGUACUCAGUUAGGUGAACUGGGUCACCAGUGGGCAAAAAACUGACUUUUAGGCUGUUUUGCACCUGUCUGAGGCUGGUCCAGGUGUUCCAGUGGUUGGAGAGGGUGGUUGGUGUUGUGAUGUGAGUCCAGGGAGUGUGGGGUGACCCCUCAUGAGUUGGAGGAGCAACCUCUGCAAGGGAUGAGUGAGGGUGCUCAAAGAAGGGUGUGGUAAUCGUUUACAGCAUCCCUUUAAACGAUUACUCGAGACAAAUCUGAAUUUUGUACAGAAAGUCCAACUUAGAAAAGUCAACCAAAAUGAAGAAAAACUAACCAGAAUCCAGAAAAGCCAACCAGUCAACCAGAGUGCAGAAAAAGUUGCACUGAGCGGUAGGGGGUGCUGAGCGCCAAUUUUUACUGUCACACGCUUGCCAAAAUUGUCGUUGAGUGUCAUUUUGAAGAGCCUUACUUAUCGUUCAACGCCAAAAGUGCCAUUGAGCGCCAUUUAAGUGGGCUUUGACCUGCUUUUCUAUUAUUUUUAUGUUCUAUUUAAGGACUUGCACGUCCUAGGGAUUGUAUCUUUUGAUGGCUUGAGCAUAGAAACACACCUUUCACCCCUUGGGGGCAGAUUUGGGGGAUGCGGGAGUCUCCUCUUCUCUUUCUAGGGUUUAUCUAUCUCUUUCAUUCUUGCAUUCCGUUGUUCAUCUAGUUUCUCCAUGAUAAUAGGGAACUAAACCUUAUUUGUUGUUGGGAAAGAUGUAACCUCUUAAACUCUCAUGUAUUGAAUUGAUUCUUGAUUUUAUAUGUUUUACUUCAUUAAUUGUUAGGGGGUUUUCCUCUACACUCUAUGCAUGCUUUGUUUAAAUCAUUCAAUUGCAUCAUCAUUGAUUUUGUCGAUAUGGACACAUACGGGGAAAUCUAGAACUGGGGAAAUUCUCCCGGAAGCAAUAUUACCUAAACAUAGGAAUAGGAGGAUCGGUUGCCUUUAAGCUUAUGUGCGAAUGGAAUACAUGAUUAAUUGCUAGGGAGACAAGACAUUGUGAACUAGUAAUUAGGAGUAGGAUUUCUUCACCGAGA